UCUCCCCAACAACAUUUUUGCCAAUUUAUUGUGAAACUGAAGCAUCAAAGAAAGAGAGGUAGUGAAAAUUCAGAGGAGGCAGUGAUGAGGUGAGUGACAUGCUGCACCCAUGAGUGGAGAGAGAGAGUGAGAGAGAGAGAGAGAGAGAGAGAGAGAGAGAGAGAGAGAGAGAGAGAGAGAGAGAGAGAGAGAGAGAGAGAGAGAGAGGAAGUCCAACACCUCAGGACUUCUUGCUUCAGACGUCACUGAUGAGAGGAAGGAGGCAGAGGACCCUUGCCACCAGUGAGGAAAGAGUCAGAGGCAACCAGGACGCACAGAGAGUGGAGUCUGAGUGCUUGGAUUAAGAGAGAGAGAGAGAGAGAGACCCUCCUCUCUGCAGGUUAGCCCAUGACAGAAGAUGAAAAGCCAGAUCACCAAUGCCCUCGCUGACUUCUUUUUUGAGUAUGAGACCCCUCGCCAGGUGUUGGUCAGGAACAGUAAGGUGGGAGUGGUGUGCCGUCUGAUCCAGCUGGGAGUCGUGGCUUACAUCAUUGGAUGGGUUUUCAUCUACGAGAAAGGCUACCAGUCCACGGACACGGCAGUCAGCUCCGUCUUCACCAAAAUGAAAGGCGUGGGCUACACCAGUGUGAAUGGAUAUGAGAGAAUCUGGGACGUGGCUGACUACGUCUUCCCACCGCAGGGGGACUCAUCAUUUGUGGUGAUGACAAACUACAUCGUAACUGAAGGUCAGACUCUGGGAAAAUGUCCAGAGCUCAAAGGCAAGAACAACUGCAGCUCGGACGCCGACUGUGAAGGAGGGAAUUUGAAACGUACGGGACAUGGGCAAAUGACGGGAGUCUGUGUGAACACCACGAAGACCUGUGAGGUGUUGGCUUGGUGCCCUGUUGAGGAUGAUACCAUUAUACCAGAUCCUCCUCUGUUGAUGUCUGCCGAAAACUACACUCUGUUCAUCAAAAACUCCAUAACCUUCCCCUUAUUCGAUGUCACAAGGAGUAACCUGGUGGACGGCAUUGAUGCAGCAUACAUCAACAAAUGCUACCAUGAUCCGAAGGAUGAUCCACUGUGUCCAAUAUUCAGACUGGGAGACAUAGUUAGACUGUCUGGCUUUGAUUUUGAAACAAUUGCCAGAGUGGGAGGGGCCAUUGGCAUUGUGGUCGACUGGACAUGUAACUUUGAUGUGGCUGUCAAACACUGUAUACCAAAAUACAACUUCCAUGGUCUGUAUGGAAACCCUGAGGAGAAAGACAAAACCAAAGCAUCAGUAGGCUACAACUUCAGGUAUGCAAGGCAUUAUUUUGAGGAUAAAGUUCAGAAGAGAACCCUUCUCAAAGUCUUUGGGAUCAGAUUGGAUAUCAUUGUGCAGUCCCUGGCAAGAAAGUUCGACAUCAUCCCAACCCUGAUGGCGAUAGGCUCUGGAGUGGGAAUUUUUGGAGUGGCCACUGUCGUAUGUGACUUGAUGCUGCUCUACCUGCUGCCUAAAAGAGAGUUUUACAAGAACAUGAAAUUUAAACAUACAGAUUCACAUGUACCGCAGGACAGUGAGUUGCUUGGUUUAGACACAUGUGUCCACUCCACCCUUGAAGCAAAUUGAAGACCAGUCCAACGUGCUAUAGAGGAUCCUGACUCAGAGGCAGGUAGCGUAGAAACAGAGGCAUCUAAAAAGUGACCUGGGGGGCCAAUGUUCAUGCCAGAGGCCAUGCUGCUUUGAAGGUUUCUGCACUGGAACCCUACCCUAGACCGUGCAAGACAACACAAACACACUUUCACAAAUGGACUUGAACCGAGAAGGAAAAAAUGUCAAAAGACAUGGAUACACGGGCCCUCGAUUCCUUGCAGAUCUCCUUCAGAACCUCUUUCCAACGUCCUCCCACUCUUAAAGCCAUCCUGAGAGAAUAAGACUCUCGCUGUUGAUGGAGUAGCUCAGCUUUAUGUGUACUUUAUUGGGUGUAACUCGGUUUUCUUCUGUUCACACACUGGGUGUAACCUGCACCUUCCUUCACUGUUCUCCACAUCCGCCCUGGUGGUGGAACACCUCCUGGCACGCUGCAGCGAUCCUGUGUGUAUACACAUCAUCGUCAUCGUAACUCAUCCAUAGCCUCCGUGACUGUCUCUGUCACAGCAGGACACACACGUGAUGGGUGGAUGUGCCACCGUCAGAGUGACUCAUCCCUUCCCCAGUGAAUUCAAUAAAAGAUGUACAGUGAU